rnacentral:tRNA from 1 species
GGGGAUUUAGCUCAGUGGCACAGCACCUGCCUGGCAAGCAUGAGGUCCUGAGUUUGAUCCCCAGUAGACCCU